rnacentral:rRNA from 1 species
UAAGUAUCCCGCCUGGGGAGUACGGCCGCAAGGCUGAAACUCAAAGGAAUUGACGGGGCCCGCACAAGCGGUGGAGUAUGUGGUUUAAUUCGACGCAACGCGAAGAACCUUACCAAGCCUUGACAUUCAGGUGGUGCACGGCUGUCGUCAGCUCGUGUCGUGAGAUGUUGGGUUAAGUCCCGCAACGAGCGCAACCCCUAUCUUCUGUUACGACUCAGGAGAGACUGCCGCAGACAAUGCGGAGGAAGGCGGGGAUGACGUCAAGUCAUCAUGCCCCUUAUGGCUUGGGCUACACACGUACUACAAUGGCUCUUAUAGAGGGAGGCGAGGAGCGAUCCGGAGCAAACCCCAAAAACAGAGUCCCAGUUCGGAUUGCAGGCUGCAACCCGCCUGCAUGAAGCAGGAAUCGCUAGUAAUCGCAGGUCAGCAUACUGCGGUGAAUACGUUCCCGGGCCUUGUACACACCGCCCGUCACACCACGAAAGUCAUUCACACCCGAAGCCGGCGUCGAAGGUGGGGGCGAUGAUUGGGGUGAGUGUAACAAGGAACCGAGGG